AGAAUCAACGCUGGCGGCGUGCCUAACACAUGCAAGUCGAACGAGAAAGGGGUAGCAAUACCCUGAGUAAAGUGGCGCACGGGUGAGUAACACGUGACUAACCUACCCUUGAGUGGGGGAUAACUGAGGGAAACCUUAGCUAAUACCGCAUAAUACCCACGGGUCAAAGGAGCAAUUCGCUCGAGGAGGGGGUCGCGGCCGAUUAGUUAGUUGGCGGGGUAAUGGCCCACCAAGACGAUGAUCGGUAUCCGGCCUGAGAGGGCGCACGGACACACUGGAACUGAAACACGGUCCAGACUCCUACGGGAGGCAGCAGUGGGGAAUUUUGCGCAAUGGGGGAAACCCUGACGCAGCAACGCCGCGUGGAGGAUGAAGUCCUUCGGGACGGUAAACUCCUUUCGAUCGGGACGAUUAUGACGGUACCGGAAGAAGAGGCCCCGGCUAACUUCGUGCCAGCAGCCGC
rnacentral:rRNA from 1 species